rnacentral:rRNA from 1 species
UACGGAGGAUCCAAGCGUUAUCCGGAAUCAUUGGGUUUAAAGGGUCCGUAGGUGGACGAUUAAGUCAGGGGUGAAAGUCUGCAGCUCAACUGUAGAAUUGCCCUUGAUACUGGUUGUCUUGAAUCAUUGUGAAGUGGUUAGAAUAUGUAGUGUAGCGGUGAAAUGCAUAGAUAUUACAUAGAAUACCAAUUGCGAAGGCAGAUCACUAACAAUGUAUUGACACUGAUGGACGAAAGCGUGGGUAGCGAACAGG